AUUUAUAUAGUUUAAGUAAAACUUUAUAUUUUCAUUAUAAAAAUAAGAUUAUUUUUCUUUAUAAAUA
rnacentral:tRNA from 1 species